UACAGAGGGUGCAAGCGUUAAUCGGAAUUACUGGGCGUAAAGCGCACGUAGGCGGCUAUGUAAGUCAGGUGUGAAAUCCCCGGGCUCAACCUGGGAACUGCACUUGGGACUGCAUGGCUAGAGUAUGGGAGAGGAAGGCGGAAUUCCCGGUGUAGCGGUGAAAUGCGUAGAUAUCGGGAGGAACAUCAGUGGCGAAGGCGGCCUUCUGGCCCAAUACUGACGCUCAGGUGCGAAAGCGUGGGGAGCAAACAGG
rnacentral:rRNA from 1 species